CUUGUUGGUGGGGUAAUGGCCUACCAAGGCGACGACGGGUAGCCGGCCUGAGAGGGUGACCGGCCACACUGGGACUGAGAUACGGCCCAGACUCCUACGGGAGGCAGCAGUGGGGAAUAUUGCACAAUGGGCGCAAGCCUGAUGCAGCGACGCCGCGUGAGGGAUGACGGCCUUCGGGUUGUAAACCUCUUUCAGCACAGACGAAGCGCAAGUGACGGUAUAUGCAGAAGAAGGACCGGCCAACUACGUGCCAGCAGCCGCGGUAAUACGUAGGGUCCGAGCGUUGUCCGGAAUUACUGGGCGUAAAGAGCUCGUAGGUGGUUUGUCGCGUUGUCCGUGAAAACUCACAGCUCAACUGUGGGCGUGCGGGCGAUACGGGCAGACUGGAGUACUGCAGGGGAGACUGGAAUUCCUGGUGUAGCGGUGGAAUGCGCAGAUAUCAGGAGGAACACCGGUGGCGAAGGCGGGUCUCUGGGCAGUAACUGACGCUGAGGAGCGAAAGCGUGGGGAGCGAACAGGAUUAGAUACCCUGGUAGUCCACGCCGUAAACGGUGGGUACUAGGUGUGGGUUUCCUUCCUUGGGAUCCGUGCCGUAGCUAGCGCAUUAAGUACCCCGCCUGGGGAGUACGGAAU
rnacentral:rRNA from 1 species